rnacentral:tRNA from 1 species
AUUUUGUUAUAUUAAAUUAUGAGAUAUAAUUUGCCUCCCCAGCAAAAAGAGUAACACUCUUAAAAGGUU